UACGGGGGGGGCAAACGUUGUUCGGAAUUACUGGGCGUAAAGGGCUCGUAGGCGGCCAACUAAGUCAGACGUGAAAUCCCUCGGCUUAACCGGGGAACUGCAUCUGAUACUGGAUGGCUUGAGUUCGGGAGAGGGAUGUGGAAUUCCAGGUGUAGCGGUGAAAUGCGUAGAUAUCGGGAGGAACACCAGUGGCGAAGGCGGCGACCUGGACGGACAUUGACGCUGAGACGCGAAAGCGUGGGGAGCAAACAGG
rnacentral:rRNA from 1 species